AUUCUUUUCCAGGUCAUAAGCAUGAUGAUUGAGUGUUCACACUUUUGUGUGACAUGCUCCUCUCUCAAAUAUUGUUAUGAAUUUGGCACAUUACCCAUCUGACA